rnacentral:lncRNA from 1 species
UAAGGCCCCCUAUUAUCCAUACAUACAAAAGGAGGGGUAAAAACGUAAAAGCUCACGCAGCAGAAAAGGGGAGAAUAUUAGGAAAAGAACAUGAGAGUGGGGCCCACGGGGAAGAAUGAGAAAAGAGCUAUAAAUAAGGCCUUAUCGGGAUUGGGGGCUAGGUUAACUUUUUGUCUUCAUUUGGUCUGUAGAGGCUGCUAGGUCUAGGAAGGACUACUAUCUUUUCCUGGGGAGGUUUGACAUGAUAUUAUCAUCUUUAUUGCUUUCUUUUAUAUUUCCUUCUACUGUAUCUCUUGGCAUUUAUAUAUAAAUAAAGAUCUACAGAGUGCUGUCUCUGUUUGCCAACUGUUUGGGUAAUUUAGUAUUUUAUUUGUGGAGUCUCUACAACUGGUAUCAGAGCCCAAACGCUGGGGUGGUGACGCGACUGAUGGCGCAAAGGCAAAUAGAAGAAAGAAUAGAUGGAACGAGAAAGAAAUACUGGGCUUGAAGGAAAUGAUUCUGGAAAUGAAGAAAUCCAUGGAUAGACUGGCUGAUGAAAUGAAAGAAAACAGCAGCUACAAAAGGCGAGAUGAAUCCGGAACUUCUGAUGGAUCAGUCAUGAAGUUAAAAGGAAAAUGGGAAGAAGCCGACAAUCCAGGGGAAAACAAUGUAGUAACUGUCGACCGAAGCAAAUAUAAGAAACUGGAAAUGCCGAUUUUCACCGGGGAAAAUCCUGAGUCAUGGGUGUUUAGAGCUGAGCAUUUUUUCGAAAUUAAUAGCCUACCGGAAGCAGAAAAAGUGAAAGUAGGUGGUUAGUUUCGGACAAGAUGAAAUCGAUUGGUACCGUUGGAGUAACCAUAGAAAGAAGGUGGAAGGAUGGGAAGAUUUGAAGGUAAGGAUGUUUGAAUUUUUUCGAGAUUCUGGGCAGAAGAGCUUAGGUGCAAGGCUGAUUCGAAUAGAACAAGAUGGAUCCUAUAAUGAUAUGUCAAGAAAUUCGUACAAUAUUCUGCACCACUACUGCACAUGGCUGAAAGCGUGCUCUUAGAUGCAUUCGUGACUGGUCUAGAACCGGCUCUUCAAGCAGAAGUUAUUAGUAGACAUCCUCAAACCUUAGAGGAAUGUAUGAAGGAGGCACAACUGGUAAGUGGCAGAAACCUAGCCUUGAAAUUAGCCAAGGCAGAAUGGGUAAACAGUGUGACUAGGGAAGGAGGAGGCUCAAGCAAGGGACAAAGCAGUCAAGAUAAAAGUUCACCAAAGAAGACUGAGUUCCCCAUGAAGCAAGUCACUAUUCCCAUUAAAGGAAACUACCAGAAAAAUGAACCUCCAGUUAAAAGACUCUUGGACACGGAAUUCAGAGCAAGAUUGGACAAGGGUUUGUGUUUUAGAUGCAAUGAGAAGUACUCACCGGGACACCGAUGCAAGAUGAGAGAGAAAAGGGAAUUAAUGUUAUUUAUACUUAACGAAGAAGAGAGUGGCGGGGAGGAAGUCAAAAUGGAAGAGACCGAAGAAGUAAUGGAGCUGAACCAGUUAGUUGUUGCUGAAACCACCGAAAUUGAAUUGAAGACACUCACGGGGUUAACAUCCAAAGGGACAAUGAAACUGAAGGGGCAUGUAAAAGGAAGGGAGGUGGUGAUUCUCAUCGACAGUGGAGCUACGAACAACUUCAUCCAUGAAGCAGUGGCAAUGGAAGGAGGGUUGAACAUUGAACCCGGUACACAAUUUGGAGUGACUAUUGGAGACGGGACCCGCUGUAAAGGGAAAGGUAUUUGCAGAAAGGUGGAACUGAGAUUGAAAGAAAUGACAGUUAUAACUGAUUUUCUAGUGGUGGAACUAGGAAAUAUUGACGUGAUUUUAGGGAUGCAAUGGCUAGAUACCACCGGCACAAUGAAGGUACAUUGGCCAUCAUUAACCAUGACCUUUUGGGCAAAAGACAAGCAAAUCGUGUUAAGAGGAGAUCCAUCCUUAGUGAAACCUGAAUGUUCUUUGAAGACAUUGGAAAAAACGUGGGAUAUAGUGUAAGACCUCCAAUUAUUCAUACAUAUCAAAGGAGGGGCAGAAAAGUAAUUGGACAAAUUAAUAAUGAGGAAGGAAAAAGAGGAGGAGAUCGUGCAGGUGGGGCCCAGGCACAGAAAUAAGAGAAAGAUGAGAGAAGGAAUAUAAAUAGGUUUUUUAGGUCUAGGGGAGGUAGGUUUUAUUUUUAUCCUGAAGUUGGCGGCUGCUUAGCCUAGAGGAAUAUCCAGUCUUUCCCUAGAGGAAGCUGGGUUUGUCUUAUUAUUCCUUGUUUUUCUUGAAUCUUUAUGUUUUUCUGUACUCAUUUUGGCUAUAUAUAAAUAAAGAUAGCAGAGGGCUACCUCUGUUUUUGGCCAUUGUAAGGGAGAAAUAGUGAAGUAAGCAAGUUGAAUCCUUACAUAUAGAAGACCAAGGCUUCCUCUUAGAAUUCCAGAAUUAUGAGAUGGAAGUAGAGAAUGAAUAUGAACUGGGGACAAGAUUAAAAGGAGAUGAGGAGGAAAUAUCUAUGAUCCGAUCCCUGCUCAAGUAUUAUGCGGAGAUAUUUGAGACACCGAAAAAUUACCUCCAAAAAGAGCUAUUGAUCACCGAAUAUUAACCCUACCUGACCAUAAACCUAUCAACGUAAGACCUUACAAAUACGGUCAUGUGCAGAAAGAAGAAUAAAAAAAAACUGGUGGUCGAGAUGCUUCAAGCAGGGGUAUUCGCCUAGUCAUAGCCCUUACUCCAGCCCGGUGUUGUUAGUGAAGAAAAAAAGAUGGUGGAUGGAGAUUUUGUGUCGAUUACCGCAAGUUAAAUCAGACGACAGUAUCGGAUAAGUUCCCAAUUCCUGUGAUAGAGGAAUUAUUAGAUGAGCUGAAUAGGGCAACGGUUUUCUCGAAAUUAGAUCUGAAAUCUGGUUAUCACCAGAUUAGAAUGAAAGAGGAAGAUGUGGAGAAAACUGUGUUCCGCACACAUGAAGGGCACUAUGAGUUUCUAGUAAUGCCGUUUGGUCUCCACGAAUGCUCUGGCAACCUUCCAAUCUUUGAUGAACCAAGGUAUUUAAACCUUUCCUUCGGCGCUGUGUUUUGGUGUUCUUUGAUGAUAUACUGGUUUAUAGUGCGGAUAUAGAUGAACACGCAAAGCAUUUGGGCAUGGUAUUCAAUGUUUUGAAGUAUAACCAGCUGUUUUGCUAACAAAAAAAAAUGCGUUAUAGCCCAUUCCAGUACAGUACUUGGGACAUAUGAUAUCCAAAAGAGGAGUUGAGGCAGAUGAGGAUAAGAUCAAGAAGAUGAUUAAUUGGCCACCACCAACGAAUAUAUCUGGUCUGCGGGGCUUCUUAGGACUGACAGGAUAUUAUAGGAGGUUUGUCAAGGGUUAUGGAGAGAUCGCUGCACCGCUAACCAAGUUAUUAUAGAAGAAUGCUUUUAAGUGGAAUGAAGAAGCAAAUACUGCCUUCGAAAAUUUGAAGCUAGCAAUGACUACUCUACCAGUGUUGGCAUUACCAGAUUGGAACAUUCCCUUUAUUAUCGAAACUGAUGCAUCUGGCGUAGGGUUAGGAGCGGUGAUCUCUCAAAAUGGCCACCCGAUUGCCUUUUUCAGUCAGAAGUUAUCCACAAGGGCUCAAAACAAAUCCAUCUAUGAAAGAGAGUUGAUGGCUGUAGUUCUAUCAGUUCAAAAAUGGAGGCAUUAUUUGCUGGGCAGGAAGUUCACCAUACUUUCAGAUCAAAAGGCUCUUAAAUUCUUGCUUGAACAGAGAGAGGUAAGCCCCAAUUCCAGAAAUGGUUGACAAAGCUCCUUGGAUAUGAUUUCGAGAUUUUAUAUCAACCGGACAUCAGAACAAGGCAGCGGAUAUCUAGAAUGGAGAACCGGUGGAGCUGCACAGCUUGACAACUACUGGAAUCAUUGAUGUGAAACUAAUCGAGCAGGAAGUUGAGAAUGAUGCUGAACUUAAGAAAAUUAUGGAAAAUCUGAAGAAAAAUGCAGAAGAAGGAAGCAAGUUUCAAGUUUUCUAUAAGGGAGAAUGGUAGUAUCUCAAACUUCUUUUAUACCCAAGAUCCUACAUACUUUCCACGAUUCUAUCCUCGGGGGACAUUCUGGAUUUUUAAGAACUUACAAGAGGAUCAGUGGAGAACUAUAUUGGAGGGUAUGAAGGCUGAAAUAAAGAAAUAUGUGGAACAAUGCGAGAUCUGCCAGAGAAACAAAUACGAAGCAACCAAACCAGCUGGGGUACUUCAACCAAUUCCAAUUCCUGACAGAAUCUUAGAAGAUUGGACCAUGGACUUUUAUUGAGGGGUUGCCACUAGCUGGAGGGGUUAAUGUGAUCAUGGUGGUAGUUGAUCGGCUGAGUAAGUAUUCUUACUUUAUAUCAUUGAGACAUCCGUUUUCAGCCAAGCAAGUUGCUUCCAUAUUCAUCGACAGAAUAGUAAGCAAGCACGGCAUUCCUAAGUCGAUUAUCACAGAUCGGGAUAAAAUCUUUCUUAGUAAUUUUUGGAAGGAACUGUUUGCAACCAUGGAACUAUUCUAAAGAGGAGUACCGCCGUUUCACCCACAAACUGAUGGGCAGACAGAAAGGGUAAAUAGAUGUCUCGAAACUUAUCUGCGAUGCUUCUGUAAUGAACAACCAAAAAAAUGGGAUAGACUGAUUCCAUGGGCAGAAUUGUGGUAUAAUACCACCUUCCAUGCAUCCACCAAAAUAACCCCUUUUCAGACGGUAUACCGCAGACCGCCUCCUCCCCUGUUAUCUAUGGUUACAAGAAAACUCCUAAUAAUGAGGUUGACACGCUGCUGAAGGAACGUGACUUAGCCAUCAAUGCCUUAAAAGAACACCUGUGUGUAGCCUAGAACAGGAUGAAGAAAAUGGCUGAUCGAAAUAGAAGAGAGUUAAAAUUUAAGGUAGGAGAUGAAGUCUACUUGAAAUUGAGACCUUACCGGCAACGCUCCUUGGCUCGGAAGAAGUGUGAAAAGUUAGCACCUAAAUAUUACGGACCCUACAAAAUUACUGAAGAAAUAGGAGCAGUUGCGUACAGAUUGAUGUUACCGCCGGAAGCCAGUAUCCACAAUGUGUUCCAUAUUUCUCAGUUAAAACUGAAACUGGGUAGUCAACAAGCUGUUCAACACCAGCAACCUAGGCUAACGGAAGAGUUUGAGUUACAAUUAUGGCCGGAAACAGUGUUGGGAGUCCGUUGGAAUCGGGAAUUGGGAGGAAAUGAAUGGUUAAUUAAGUGGAAAGGGCUGCCGGACAGUGAAACAACUUGGGAAUCUGUUUUCCAAAUGAACCAACAAUUCCCUGACUUUCACCUUGAGGACAAGGUGAACCUGGAACCGAGGGGUAUUGUAAGGCCCCCUAUUAUCCAUACAUACAAAAGGAGGGUAAAAACGUAAAAGCUCACGCAGCAGAAAAGGGGAGAAUAUUAGGAAAAGAACAUGAGAGUGGGGCCCACGGGGAAGAAUGAGAAAAGAGCUAUAAAUAAGGCCUUAUCGGGAUUGGGGGCUAGGUUAACUUUUUGUCUUCAUUUGGUCUGUAGAGGCUGCUAGGUCUAGGAAGGACUACUAUCUUUUCCUGGGGAGGUUUGACAUGAUAUUAUCAUCUUUAUUGCUUUCUUUUAUAUUUCCUUCUACUGUAUCUUUUGGCAUUUAUAUA